UGAGCAAAAAGUAAGGCUAUAGCCUUAACUUUUCGUCCAUUUUUUGCCACUUUUUCAAAAAUGAAAUAAGUGGCAAAAAAUCAGCAAAAAGUAAGGCUAUAGCCUUAACUUUUCGUCCAUUUUUUGCCACUUUUUCAAAAAUGAAAUAAGUGGCAAAAAAUGAGCAAAAAGUAAGGCUACAGCUGAAAAAAGUGGCCAAAAAUGGAUGAAAAGUUAAGACUUUUUAUCCAUUUUUGGCCACUUUUUUCGGCUUUGAAAAAGUGGCCAAAAAUGGCUUAACUUUUUGUCCAUUUUUUGCCACUUUUUCAAAAAUGAAAUAAGUGGCAAAAAAUGAGCAAAAAGUAAGGCUACAGCUGAAAAAAGUGGCCAAAAAUGGAUGAAAAGUUAAGACUUUUUAUCCAUUUUUGGCCACUUUUUUCGGCUUUGAAAAAGUGGCCAAAAAUGGCGAAAAAGUAAGGCUAUAGCCUUAACUUUAGCGUAGACGGUCUAGUGGUAAGGACAAAGUGUUGCAAGUGGCUGAUGCCAGAUUCGAGUCGCGGUUGUCCCAUGAGCAUUUUAGCGUCGGGUGUCGUUGUUAAUUAAUUCCACGCGAGAGGAGAAAGGGUUAAGUGGAAUAAAAAAGAAGUUAAAGCAAGUGCAGGCGAGACGGUCUAGUGGUAAGGACAAAGUGUUGCAAGUGGCUGAUGCCAGAUUCGAGUCGCGGUUGUCCCAUGAGCAUUUUAGCGUCGGGUGUCGUUGUUAAUUAAUUCCACGCGAGAGGAGAAAGGGUUAAGUGGAAUAAAAAAGAAGUUAAAGCAAGUGCAGGCGAGACGGUGUAGUGGUAAGGACCAAAGUGUUGCAAGUGGCUGGUGCCAGGUUCGAGUCGCUGUUGUGCCAAGAGAAUUUUAGCAUUGGGCGUCGUUGUUAAUUAAUUCCACCCGAGAGGAGAAAGGGUUAAGUGGAAUAAGAAAGAAGUUAAAGCAUCUGGUCCUUACCACUAGACCGUCUCGCCUGCAGAUGCUUUAACUUCUUUCUUAUUCCACUUAACCCUUUCUCCUCCCGGUUGGAAUUAAUUAACAACGACGCCCAACGCUAAAUUACUCUUGGCACAACCGCGACUCGAACCUGGCACCAACCACUUGCAACACUUUGGUCCUUACCACUAGACCGUCUCGCCUGCAAAGUGUUGCAAGUGGUUGGUGCCAGGUUCGAGUCGCGGUUGUGCCAAGAGUAAUUUAGGUUGGGCGUCUGUUAAUUAAUUCCACGCGAGAGGAGAAAGGGUUAAGUGGAAUAAAAAGAAGUUAAAGCAAGUGCAGGCGAGACGGUGUAGUGAUAAGGGCAAAAGUGUUGCAAGUGGCUGGUGCCAGGUUCGAGUCGCGGUUGUGCCAAGAGCAUUUUAGCGUUGGGCGUCGUUGUUAAUUAAUUCCACGCGAGAGGAGAAAGGGUUAAGUGGAAUAAAAAGAAGUUAAAGCAAGUGCAGGCGAGACGGUGUAGUGAUAAGGGCAAAAGUGUUGCAAGUGGUUGGUGCCUGGUUCGAGUCUCGGUUGUGCCGAGAGCAUUUUAGUGUUGGGCGUCGUUGUUAAUUAAUUCCACCCGAGAGGAGAAAGGGUUAAGUGGAAUAAAAAAGAAGUUAAAGCAAAGGCAGGCGAGACGGUGUAGUGGUAAGGACCAAAGUGUUGCAAGUGGCUGGUGCCAGGUUCGAGUCGCGGUUGUGCCAAGAGCUACAAGUUUAUUUUUCGAACGAAAUAAAGAUGAAAAAUCGAUGUCUUCGGUCACUGUGCGCUGGACA
rnacentral:lncRNA from 1 species